UUAAAACGGAGAGUUUGAUCCUGGCUCAGGAUGAACGCUGGCGGUAUGCUUAACACAUGCAAGUCGAACGGUGUCUUCG
rnacentral:rRNA from 1 species